UACGUAGGGUGCAAGCGUUAAUCGGAAUUACUGGGCGUAAAGCGUGCGCAGGCGGUUCUAUAAGACAGAUGUGAAAUCCCCGGGCUCAACCUGGGAACUGCAUUUGUGACUGUAGAGCUGGAGUGCGGCAGAGGGGGAUGGAAUUCCGCGUGUAGCAGUGAAAUGCGUAGAUGUGCGGAGGAACACCGAUGGCGAAGGCAAUCCCCUGGGCCUGCACUGACGCUCAUGCACGAAAGCGUGGGGAGCAAACAGG
rnacentral:rRNA from 1 species